rnacentral:pre_miRNA from 1 species
AGCAUUUGCACCCAUUCAUCCAUGGGUGGGGAUUUGUUGCAUUACUUGUAUUAUUCAUAAAGUAUUGCACUUGUCCCGGCCUGUGGAAGAAAAGAGGAUUUUAUCUUC